rnacentral:rRNA from 1 species
AUGAAGGCUAGUUUGGCACCUGGCCCCGAUGGCCCACCGAUGGACUUCUUCCAGAAGUUUUGGCCGCAGCUCCACCGAGUGAUCAUGCCGAUGUUCCAUGAAUUCUAUAUUGGGACUCCCAAUAUGGCGUGGCUAAACAUUGGUGUCAAUACCCUGAUCCCCAAAAUAGUUGGGGCGAUGGAUAUUUGUCGUUCUAGGCCGAUUACGGUGAUUAAUGUGCUCCCAUGAAUUUUUGCGAUGGUGCGUACGACGCACCUUGCCCUGGUGGUGGAAUGCCUCUCACACCCUUACUAGACUGUGUUCCUAUAGGGCUGCCAUAUACAUGACAGGAUUCUAACCUUCAUGAAAUUAUCCAUGAGGUUAGGACACGGCGUCAUAAAAGCGUCUUCCUUAAUCUACACUUCCAGAAGGCGUACGACUACCUUGACUAGCAUUCCUUUCGUUGGUGCUCGAACGGAGGGGUUCGAUGAUCGCUGGUGUUGGUGGAUCAUGUAG